rnacentral:rRNA from 1 species
GACGAAGGGGGCUAGCGUUGCUCGGAAUUACUGGGCGUAAAGCGCGUGUAGGCGGUUGUCCAAGUUGGAUGUGAAAGCCUUGAGCUUAACUCAAGAAAUGCAUUCAGGACUGGAUGACUAGAGGACCGGAGAGGAUAGUGGAAUUCCCAGUGUAGUGGUGAAAUGCGUAGAGAUCCGGAGGAACCCCAGAGGCGAAGGCGGCGCUCUGGCUCGCAACUGACGCUCAGACACGACAGCAUGGGGAGCGAACGGG